UCAUGCUUCGUCGCCCCGCACUUCUCUCCGUGCCGAGGCGUCCGGCGGUGCUCCGCGGCUUGCGCGCCGGCACCCGUGCGGCCAGUGCGCUGGCUCCGAGACUGCAGCCAGCGCUGCAGGCACAGUCGUCUUGUGCAUCCUUCUCCGCGGCGUCUUUGGCCGCUUCUUCUCGCCGCUGGUGCUCGACUGGGUCGUCGUCGAGUGACAAUCCCAGCCGCGGCCAUUCAGAGGCAAAGACGCCGUUGACGGACACAUCAGCCGCAGCGCCCACUGGUCUCGCUGCACACGACGAUGCCACUGCCUCUACCACGACCGUGGCGGAGCAUCUCAAGCACCUCUCCCCGGAAGACCAGCAGCGCAUCAUCGCCGCCCUGCAAGCACCAGAGAAGGAGAAGAGCUCCGUCAUGGGCGGCGCCGGCAUCGGCCCAGCGGAUGGUGACAUGGUGGCCGCUUUCACCUGCGGUCCGUGCGACUACCGCAUGGUGAAGCGCUUCAGCAAGCACGCCUACACAAAGGGCAUUGUCAUCGUGGAGUGCCCCAACUGCCGCGCGAAGCACCUGCUGGCCGACAACCUUGGGUGGAUGGAGGACACGGCCACGAACAUCGAGGACAUCCUGAAGGCCAAGGGCGAGAGCUUCGUCCGCAUUGGCGGAGCGGAGGGCGACUACCAGGUGGUUAUGGACCCAGCGUUGACCACGUCUUCUACGCCGUUCGCCGCAACGCAGCGGCCAUAGGAUGUGCACCGUUGUGCUCCGUCUGCUUUUUUGUGUUGGUCAAUUGCGUGCUACGAAGGCAGGUAUAGGGUUAAGACGAGGGAGGGUGAUAAUGAAGCGAGAGGGGCCUGGGGCAGGCGGCACGGGCGCCUGCAGGACGACACACAAGCGACAGCAGAGAGGGGACGGGAGGGGGCUAUGCGGCUUGCUCCGUGGACCUUCUCCCCUGCCUCUGCUCUUUCACUAGGCGCUGCUGCAGCCCUCCGAUUCUUGUCUGUUCCUGCUGCCCAGGCGGUCUCCUCCUCUUGCAUCGGCCUUUCUCCUAUUCACUGACAUAGGCACAGGCCUCCCAACACCCCAGGCACCUUCUCUCACUCUCCCCCUCUCCCUAUUCGCGCGUGUCCGCCGGCCAUCCCCUCCUCACCUUCUCGCCUCACUGCUCAACAGAGGGGGAGGGGGCUUCUCGACAUCUCUUUAUAUGCCCCAUCGCUAACCCUGCCGGCCGCUUUUUUCUUUCUCAUUUUGUUUGUUUCGGCCCCUCCCCAGUGCACGCGUGUGCAUAGCCCAUGACACAGGCUCCGACGAGCGCGCAUCAGUCGCCGUGCAUAUACUGUACGUCUCCCUCUUGUGGGGAGGGUAUCCGGGUGUGUGCGUUGUGGAACCGAUAAGACACUUGUGAGGUCGUAAGAGAAUGCACAACACG
rnacentral:misc_RNA from 1 species